UGUCCAUUCUAAGUUUGCCCCGUAUUCGGUACUAUUCGAAGGAGUCAAUGGCUCAAGAAUUUCUGCUGAAAAGCAAACCUCACAAGGUCAAGGUCAUUUUCUUCUCUCAAACUGGAGAGCGGGCAACUCCAUUUAUACGUCUGGCUGCUAAGAAUUACUCAGCCUAUGCUACAUUCGCAUUCGUGCUAUGGCAGGAAGGAGAAUCUUCAUUGUGGUGGAAUAUGUUAGGGGUCGAAUCUGCUCCUGCCAUUGUAUUUCUAAAAGAAACAGGUGUCAAACCUGUAGUUCAUCAUGGCUCUGUGAACAGUUCAUUGUUUGUGGAUAUUAUGGAGAAGAAUAAAUAUCAUGUGCUUCCACAAUUGAGGAGUAUAACUUCGAAGGAAUUGGGUUGUGAUCCGCGGGGUUUUUCACGUGCUGGAAAGGAUACCAAGAUAUGGUAUUGUGUUGUUUUAGUCGGGAGGUAUAGCCAGGAGCUCAAUGAAAUGCGUGAAACCAUGCGCAGGAUUCAAGAAACCCUUUCAAGUGAUGGAGAUUUGACUGCAGUUGAUCAAGAUCAGCCAUCUGCACCGGCUCUGCUUGCACUAAAACAGAAACGGCUGACGUUUGCCUGGCUUGAUGGGGAAGCACAGAAAAGUUACUGUUUCUUCUACAUUAAUUCAGAAAAUAGUCACGAGACCUGUGGGCCGAUGAGGGAUAUAACAGACACAGCACAACUAUUCAUUGUACGCUAUGAUAGGAAUGACACAGAGGAUGUUGGAAAACAGCCAACCAGCAAAUUCUCAGAAUUGUACAAUGUUGAAACUGAUCCUGCAGCUCAGCUUGUGGCAAGAUACAGUGGUUCUAAUAAAAUUGAACAGAUCAUACAAUGGAUUUCUGAGAUUAUCAAAGAUGGCGACUCAAAGAAUCUUCCUUCAUUUAAAACAAGAACUCCUGAAUUGGUCCCAGAGGAUGCAGAUUCCAGUUGGUCAUCUUGGUCUCAAGGAACUGUUAGUCCUAGUAGAGGAUUGAUUUAUUGGGUCAAAAGCUUCCUAAAUAAAGUUCAUGAUUUCAGUGGCGAUCCAAG
rnacentral:misc_RNA from 1 species